GUGCAAGGCCAUGUGUGUGGAGACAGGUAUGACUGUGCUUCGCAGGGGUGCAAUGGAGCUCACCCGCGAGGACUACAUGGAGGGCAUCUUAGAGAUAGAGGCCAAGAAGAAAGGCAACCUGCAGAUCUGAAGAGAGACGUGGAGGGAAAGAG